UGGGGAAUUUUGCACAAUGGAGGAAACUCUGAUGCAGCGACGCCGCGUGAGUGAUGAAGAUCUUCGGAUUGUAAAACUCUGUCCUUAGUGAAGAUAAUGACAGUAACUAAGAAGCAAGCCCUGGCUAAAUACGUGCCAGCAGCCGCGGUAAUACGUAUGGGGCAAGCGUUGUCCGGAAUUAUUGGGCGUAAAGGGUUCGCAGGCGGAAAUGCAAGUCAGGUGUAAAAGGCAGUAGCUUAACUACUGUAAGCAUUUGAAACUGCAUAUCUUGAGAAGAGUAGAGGUAAGUGGAAUUUUUAGUGUAGCGGUGAAAUGCGUAGAUAUUAAAAAGAAUACCGGUGGCGAAGGCGACUUACUGGGCUCAUUCUGACGCUGAGGAACGAAAGCGUGGGUAGCAAACAGG
rnacentral:rRNA from 1 species